ACUCAAAUGAAUUGACGGGGGCUCACACAAGCGGUGGAGCAUGUUGCUUAAUUCGAGGCAACGCGAAGAACCUUACCUGGGUUUGACAUGGUCGGAUUAACUCCUGGAAACAGGAGCCACGCCCGCAAGGGUGGAACGAUCACAGGUGCUGCAUGGCUGUCGUCAGCUCGUGCUGUGAAGUGUCGGGUUAAGUCCUCUAACGAGCGCAACCCCUAUCGUUAGUUGCUCACGGGUCAAGCCGAGUACUCUAGCGAGACUGCCGGUGUCAAACCGGAGGAAGGCGGGGAUGACGUCAAGUCCUCAUGGCCCUUACAUCCAGGGUUGCAAACGUGCUACAAUGGCGCAUACAAAGCGACGCGAGGCCGCGAGGCGGAGCAAAUCGCAAAAAAUGCGCCCCAGUUCGGAUUGCAGGCUGCAAUUCGCCUGCAUGAAGUCGGAAUCGCUAGUAAUCGCGGAUCAGCUACGCCGCGGUGAAUAAGUUCCUGAGCCUUGUACACACCGCCCGU
rnacentral:rRNA from 1 species